CGCGACGAAUUUUAAAUGAAUUUCGGUUACCCUCACAACCUGAACGACUUAUUCCAAAUCAGUAGAACAUGAAAUCAUAAUCCUUCUUCUUCCUCUUUAUGACAUCUUUGCUCUCUCCCGUCUCAUUCCGUUCCGUCCGUUGUGUCUGCAUGCCGCGGUUUGGUACAACUACCUGCGAAUUUUAAAUCCUAACCCUCUUGCUCUUCUCCUUCAUCAACCUUUCCGUCGCAUUCUUCCAAGUCUUAGCAAUGGCAGCGCACCACAAGCUAGCUGUGAUUCUCGAGAAUCCUCAAAACGACGCCGAAUUCCUCCUCGUGAAACAGACGCGACCGCCGAAGUUCGACUGCGAUGAGUACGACUCGUACGUCGAUUCUGAUCUCUGGGACUUGCCAUCCUCCCAAUUGAACCUUGUAGAAGGACUAUCGAAGCCCUCGAUUGCAGUGGCAGGCGCAGAACCGUGGUCGGGGAAGAUCGAUUUGGCAAAAUUCGACUUCGAGUCGGCUCUCAACCAGGUUCUGGAACAAGUAGGGUCUAAGGCGGCUGACGGUGGAGAUUGGAGGUUGUCCAAGUACGUGGAGGAAGCUCAGUUCGGACCCGGGCCGCCAAUCAAUUCGGUGUUUAUUAGGGGAAAAUUGGUAGCUUCGGAGCAAAAUUUACAAGAAUCGUGUAAAUGGAUGUCUGUCCCGAGUUGUCUAAGCUGGCUUCUUGAAGUGAAACCAAGCAGUGAUCGUGUGGGGCCGUUGAUAGUUGCCGGUCUUCUAAAUGAAUCUGAGAAAUCGAGAGAGAUGAACAUUCCAUCCACCUUACCUUACCAGGAGUACCCUCCUGGUGUUGUGCUUGUACCUAUGGGAAGCAGGACAGGAAAACCUUUUUAUACAACAAAUCUGAUUGUUUUUGCACCCAAAAAUGCUUCAAAUGAAUUUGUAGAGGAUGAUUUUAUUGCUUGUGGAGAUGCAUUGAUAGUGGACCCUGGAUGCCGGUCUGAAUUUCAUGAAGAGCUCGCACAAAUUGUAACUUCAUUGCCAAGAAAGUUAGUUGUCUUUGUUACUCAUCACCAUCGCGAUCAUGUAGAUGGUCUUUCAGUUAUUCAGCGUUGCAAUCCUGAUGCUACUUUAUUAGCACAUGAAAAUACCAUGCGACGCAUUGGAAAAGAUGACUGGUCUCUUGGCUUCACUGCAAUUUCUGGAACUGAAGAGAUUUGCAUUGGUGGUCAGCGAUUGAUUGCCGUUUUUUCUCCGGGGCAUACAGAUGGGCAUAUGGCACUGCUCCAUGCUAGUACUCACUCAUUGAUUGUUGGCGAUCAUUGUGUGGGUCAAGGUAGUGCUGUACUGGAUGUUACUGGUGGGGGAAAUAUGACUGAUUAUUUUCAAUCAACUUACAAAUUCAUGGAGCUUUCCCCACAUGCCUUGGUCCCCAUUCAUGGGAGAGUUAACCUAUGGCCAAAGCACAUGCUUUGUGGAUAUCUCAAAAAAGGAUUAUCAUGGCACCAUAUUAGAUGUAUUCCGACAGAGGAGUCUUACCUUUCAGGAACCGCAGAGCAAGAGAAAGUUCUGUCUUGAAAGCGAUAGAAAAUGGAGCAGAAACAUUGUUUGACAUAGUUUCCACUGUAUAUUCGGAGAUUGAUCGUAGCAUUUGGAUUCAUUGUGCAUCUAAUGUGAGGCUUCAUGUGGAUCAUCUUGCCCAGCAAGAUAAGUUACCAAAGGGAUUCUCUUUAGAAACUUUCCAUAGCAGUUUGGCUGCAUUCUUUACCAAGGUGGGAAAUUAUGAGCCCAAGUGAGGAAGCUGCUCUCUCUCUGGCCCCUUCACAAACUACCUUUAGGAAUUUUCAAUUCAGAGGUUUCAAAAAACUUGUAGGCUGCACUUCUUCUCUCGAUGGAUUGGGGCUUAUUUAAGUAGUGGUGUCAGGUUAAACUGUUGGAAGCCAUGGAAACCUCAGGUCCUUAUUGCCAGGGCAGUGGCUAGCUUUGCUGUGCUGUACUUGUUUAAAAACAGGUUCGUUCCAAAUAAGACUUGUUUUAGAAUGU